ACUCCUACGGGAGGCAGCAGUGGGGAAUUUUACGCAAUGGGGGAAACCCUGACGUAGCGACACCGCGUGAGCGAAGAAGCCCUUUGGGGUGUAAAGCUCUGUCAGCUGGAACGAAAACAAUGACGGUACCAGCAGAGGAAGCAUCGGCUAACUACGUGCCAGCAGCCGCGGUAAGACGUAGGAUGCGAGCGUUGUCCGGAUUUAUUGGGCGUAAAGAGUUCGUAGGUGGUUUGUUAAGUUUGGUGUUAAAGAUCGGGGCUCAACCCUGGGACUGCACUGAAUACUGGCAGACUCGAGUGUGGUAGAGGCUAGUGGAAUUCCCAGUGUAGCGGUGAAAUGCGUAGAUAUUGGGAAGAACACCGGUGGCGUAGGCGACUAGCUGGGCCAUAACUGACGCUGAGGAACGAAAGCCAGGGGAGCGAAUGGGAUUAGAAACCCGUGUAGUCCCAUGAU
rnacentral:rRNA from 1 species